CGCAAGCACGCCUCUACUGUAGGCUGGUCUCCACUCCUACAUACCCUGCAACCACAAAAGUGCCUUUUGCGCAAGGUGCGAUACGCACCACUGACAAUCAUGAGUUUCGCCGAGGGCGCUACCCCGAGAAAGAGCCUCAAUUCGAAGCGGAGAAACGGUGCCGAGAAGACCACGGAUGUGCCGAAGGACGCUGUAAAACACAGCCGCACAAGGGUAUUGCACGUCUCUGUUACGGAUGAUACACAAAUAGUGAGCAUCCCUCGCGACCAAGAAGACCCGUUCGAUGUCUGGGCUGUAUACUCUCAUGUAGUGUACGCGACCAAGAAGGAGCAACGCUUUCUUAAGCGCUCUCUGCAAUCGCGCAUCCACGAAAGUAUCGUCCAGUGUUCCAAUCUGUUCCCUCUUACGGGCAACGACCAGGAGGGGAAGCAGUCCACCCCCACUGGUAACUCUAGCAGACGCAUGAACGCGUCGUUUGUGUCCACGCUGCAGGCACAAGGCUACGGCAAAAGUAUCGCAGCGUGCGCCAUGUGUGUGCUAUCAGUGUGGCCUUCCUUACCUGUUAAGAACCGACCCCCACUCUCUACAAAGGUCCAGAGAUCGUUUGAGGCCUUGCAAGCUGGCACACACCUGUACGUUUUCAACGAAAAGCCGAACUCUCCACUACUCUGCGACACAGCGCUGCGUCUCUUGCACAGCAUUGAUCGCGAUGAGGUCAGUGUUACCAUUUUCAACGCCACCGAGCGUACCGUCAUCGAUGGGUACAUUCCACUCUCGUUUGUUGUGUCGCUUUCUUUUGGAUUGGAGCCAGUCGAGCGGGCGCGGCACCUGAAUAAGACCGGCACGAUCAAGUGCAGCAACGGCCACCAGACGACGGAAGAAACGAGCAAGCGAGCCUUCACGCUCCACUGCUCUGCACCUGAGCUGUUUUAUGUCACUUUCAUCGCGGCAACUCAGGAAGACUUCAACAAGUGGACUUGUGUCAUCGAUUACUUUGUUCUCCUUAACUCUUGCUACAGAGCAUACCUGCAGUCGCGCUAGUCUGCAAAAAGCGGGUUAAGCAUUGUGUUUUACAUUCUUUCAUCCUAUACCAUCUGCUCUCUUCCUUUACAG
rnacentral:misc_RNA from 1 species